rnacentral:lncRNA from 1 species
UUCCAGGGAACUUAUGCCUACUGCAAGAGAGGCUGACAAGGCUCCAUAUGGGUUCUACCACUCUCUGGGGUUUCUACUUUCUGGGGGUACAGAAAAUAGAAACAUGACUCAGAGUUCCUGCCUCAUGGAGUCUGGGAGCUUCCAGGAACACCUCAAGGAGGAAGCAGAAAGCAAGCUGUUCUGCGGCACCAGAACAUAUGAAAAGGAAGCGCAGUUUUCCACACACAGUCGCUUCCUGUCUCAGACCCCAUGACUGCAGAGUUCCAGAAAGUAAACACUGUAGAUCCAAGCGGAGUGCCAGAUGGUGGGCUGAAGUAGAACCAGCUCACAGAACCUGGAACACACAGGGCUGGGAGCUCCUUGCUCUCUUCGUCUGCUUCCACCUAUUCAGAUGUCCCUGGGCGGGGUUCAGGAAUAGAAGCUUUCACUGAAGAGACAUCAGGCAUCUAAGGAUCGCUUGACACAGUGGAAUACCAGGCACACAGUGGGAACCUUCUCCCAGUG